rnacentral:rRNA from 1 species
UACGAACCGUCCAAACGUUAUUCGGAAUCACUGGGCUUACAGAGUUCGUAGGCGGUCUGGAAAGUUGGGUGUGAAAUCCCUCGGCCUAACCGAGGAACUGCGCUUGAAACUUCCAGACUCGAGGGAGAUAGAGGAAAGCGGAACUGAUGGUGGAGCGGUGAAAUGCGUUGAUAUCAUCAGGAACACCGGUGGCGAAGGCGGCUUUCUGGACCCUUUCUGACGCUGAGGCGCGAAAGCCAGGGGAGCAAACGGG